rnacentral:tRNA from 2 species
GGGGGAACAUAUAGGGUUACUGCUAAUAAUCCUUCGUCGGUUUAUUUCGACUUCUCCUU